GCCGAGGUGUUGGAAUUGGUAUACAAUGGGGAUUUAAAAUCCCCUGCCCGCAAGGGCGUGAGGGUUCGAGUCCCUCCCUCGGCACCA
rnacentral:tRNA from 1 species